rnacentral:rRNA from 1 species
UACGUAGGGUGCAAGCGUUGUCCGGAAUUAUUGGGCGUAAAGAGCUCGUAGGCGGUCUGUCGCGUCGGCUGUGAAAUCCCGGAGCUCAACUCCGGGUCUGCAGUCGAUACGGGCAGACUGGAGUUCGGCAGGGGAGGCUGGAAUUCCUGGUGUAGCGGUGAAAUGCGCAGAUAUCAGGAGGAACACCGGUGGCGAAGGCGGGUCUCUGGGCCGAUACUGACGCUGAGGAGCGAAAGCGUGGGGAGCGAACAGG